GAUCGAGUCCCGUGCGGUUGUCGCAGGCUUAACCCCGCCAGGUCCGGAAGGAAGCAACGGUCGGUCUGCCGGCAGCGCGACACGGUCGGCUGGGUCCCC
rnacentral:SRP_RNA from 1 species